GAUGAACGCUGGCGGCGUGCCUAACACAUGCAAGUCGAGCGAAGCGCUUAAAUUAGAUUUCUUCGGAAUGACGAUUUUUGUGACUGAGCGGCGGACGGGUGAGUAACGCGUUGGUAACCUGCCUCAUACAGGGGGAUAACAGUUAGAAAUGACUGCUAAUACCGCAUAAGACCCCAGCUUCGCAUGAAGCGUUGGUAAAAACUCCGGUGGUAUGGGAUGUACCCGCGUCUGAUUAGCUAGUUGGUAAGGUAACGGCUUACCAAGGCGACGAUCAGUAGCCGAGCUGAGAGGGUGACCGGCCACAUUGGGACUGAGACACGGCCCAGACUCCUACGGGAGGCAGCAGUGGGGAAUAUUGCACAAUGGGGGAAACCAUGAUGCAGCGACGCCGCGUGAAGGAUGAAGUAUUUCGGUAUGUAAACUUCUAUCAGCAGGGAAGAAAGUGACGGUACCUGACUAAGAAGCCCCGGCUAACUACGUG
rnacentral:rRNA from 1 species